AGGGAAUCGUCCAAAAGGGACGAAAGUCUGAUGGAGCAACGCCGCGUGAGUGAUGAAGGUUUUGGGAUCGUAAAACUCUGGUGUAAGGGAAGAACCAGUAGGGCAGGCAAUGGACGUACAUGGACGGGACCUUAUUGGAAAGGCACGGCUAGCUACGUGCCAGCAGCCGCGGUAAUACGUAGGUGGCAAGCGUUGUCCGGAAUUAUUGGGCGUAAAGCGCGCGCAGGUGGUUUCUUAAGUCUGAUGUGAAAGCCCACGGCUUAACCGUGGAGGGUCAUUGGAAACUGGGAGACUUGAGUGCAGAAGAGGAAAGUGGAAUUCCAAGUGUAGCGGUGAAAUGCGUAGAGAUUUGGAGGAACACCAGUGGCGAAGGCGACUUUCUGGUCUGCAACUGACGCUGAGGCGCGAAAGCAUGGGGAGCAAACA
rnacentral:rRNA from 1 species